CAGGCGGCCGUGGCGGGAGGUGUGUGCCAGUGCCUCAUUUCCGGUACCUGUCAGCCAGCCUCCCCCGACCCAGCGCGAGACGGGCUGGGGCUGGUGGGCUCGCGCGCGGGGACGGUUGAGCGCGUGAGCCGAACUUCGCCGCCUCCAGAACUGAUUCGCCCCCGUGCGGCCCGGGACGUCCGAGGGGCCGGGGCCGGCGCCGUGGCGGGGCAGCGGCGCUCACGAAAAAACACAGCCCAGAAUUUAUGAAGAGCUCUACAGUAACCAGUCUGCACAUGAAAUGGAAGGGGAACAGAUUAUGGCAGCUGAUUUCUGUUUCAAUCUUCCAAGCGGUUGCUAUAAACAGAAGCUGACCUGCAAAGCCCUGGACAUCCACUACUGGCAAGGGGUGACACUAGUGUCAGAAUGACAUACUCGAGUUGGAAGAAGGAGCAACAAUAUAACUUUUCUGCAAUGCAUUUGCCACUAGAGAUAAGACUAUAAAUGUGGCAACACUUUCAAACCUGAUUGCCAAGAGUUUUGCUUCUAAAUUUGUAUUUUAUGUACCUAAAUUUAAGUGGCCUGAUUUUUCAGGCGUGC